UUUGCAUAUCCAAAAAGCGGAGGAAAAGAAACCAACAGGGAUUGCCUCAGUAACGGCGAGUGAAGCGGCAACAGCUCAAAUUUGAAAUCUGGCCUCUCGGGGUCCGAGUUGUAAUUUGUAGAGGAUGUUUUGGGUACCGCCCCGGUUUAAAUUUCUUGGAACAGAAUGUCAGAGAGGGUGAGAAUCCCGUCUUGGACCGGUGGUAGGGCCUGUGUAAAACUCCUUCGACGAGUCGAGUUGUUUGGGAAUGCAGCUCAAAAUGGGUGGUAAAUUUCAUCUAAAGCUAAAUAUUGGCCAGAGACCGAUAGCGCACAAGUAGAGUGAUCGAAAGAUGAAAAGAACUUUGAAAAGAGAGUUAAACAGUAUGUGAAAUUGUUGAAAGGGAAGCGCUUGCAACCAGACUUGAGCGCGACGGUUCCCCUAGCCUUUUGGCUAGGUUACUCCGUCGUGUCCAGGCCAACAUCGGUUCUGAGGGUCGGUCAAAGGCCCCGGGAAUGUACCUACCCACGGGUAGACUUAUAGACCGGGGUGUCAUGCGGCCUCUCGGGACCGAGGAACGCGCUUCGGCUCGGAUGUUGGCGUAAUGGUUGUCAGCGACCCGUCUUGACCAAACGGACCAAA
rnacentral:rRNA from 1 species